UUUUAGGCAAAGUAUCUCUUGACUGCAUCUGAAUUCACAGGACGAGUGAAAUCCUCCCCAUCCAUUGUUGUAAGCAUCAAAGCACCGCCUGAAAAGGCUCUCUUAACAACAUAUGGACCCUCGUAGUUUGGAGUCCACUUGCCCCUGGAAUCGGGCGCGAAAGACAAAACUUUCUUGAGCACGAGGUCACCUUCUCGGAACACACGAGGCUUGACCUUCUUGUCGAAUGCUUUCUUCAUUCUCUGCUGAUAUAACUGACCAUGACACAUGGCAG
rnacentral:lncRNA from 1 species